rnacentral:rRNA from 1 species
AACGAACGCUGGCGGCAUGCCUAACACAUGCAAGUCGAACGAGACCUUCGGGUCUAGUGGCGCACGGGUGCGUAACGCGUGGGAACCUGCCCUUAGGUUCGGAAUAACUCCCCGAAAGGGGUGCUAAUACCGGAUAAUGUCUUCGGACCAAAGAUUUAUCGCCCUUGGAUGGGCCCGCGUUGGAUUAGCUAGUUGGUAGGGUAAAAGCCUACCAAGGCGACGAUCCAUAGCUGGUCUGAGAGGAUGGUCAGCCACACUGGGACUGGGACACGGCCCAGACUCCUACGGGAGGCAGCAGUGGGGGAUAUAGGAAUGUGGGCGGAAGCCUGAUCCAGCAAUGCCGGGUAAGUGAUGAAGGCCUUAGGGUUGUAAAGCGCUUUUACCCGGGAUGAUAAUGACAGUACCGGAAGAAUAAGCUCCGGCUAACUCCGUG